AAGAGCUGAGUCCUGCUAAGUAGUGUUCGCUGCCUUCCUCUGUUAAUAUUCAAUGUCUUUAAGUUUGGACCAGAAAAUCCCUUUAGGACACAGCAAAUGGCUGCCCCUAGAAAUAUGCUUUCUGGAUAUGCUGAACCAGCUCAUAUCAAUGAUUUCAUGUUUGAGCAGCAAAGGAGAACUUUUGCAACAUAUGGUUAUGCAUUAGACCCUUCAUUAGAUAAUCAUCAAGUGUCUGCUAAAUAUAUAGGUUCUGUAGAAGAAGCUGAAAAAAAUCAAGGUUUAACUGUAUUUGAAACUGGUCAGAAG
rnacentral:sRNA from 1 species